AUAUUUCAUUAGUUAUUAUAGGCCCAUAAUUAAACAAAAAUAUUUAGCUUGUUAAUUAGGCCCAAAAUCUGUUAUCUGUAAAUACCAAUCGUCAGAUAUCUUCGACUUCCAGGCGUAAUUCUCGGGAAAAAAAAAAAAAAACGCUUCGUCUUCUGCUUCAAGCCGUUGCAGACGCCGAUUUUAUUUCAUGGGGAAGAUUGUCUUCGUUUGGGUUCGUAGCGGCGAAGAUUGUUGAUGUACCCUCAUUGUCUAUUUGUCUUCUGGAAUCUGGAUUCUGGUAAUUGACUAUCAAGUUUGGGGCUACCUAUUACAAACUCUCAAGCUCCAAUUUCUCCAGCCUCCAGGUGUUAUUAUUCUAUCAUUCAGGAAGCAAAAUAUUUUUCAGUAAUUCUUGAUUGUACACCAGAUUUUAGUCACCAAGAGCAAAUGAUUUUGAUAAUUCGAUGUGUUGAUAUGUCAUAUAGAAAAGUGAAAAUAGAAGAGUAUUUUUUAGAGUUUAUUAAGGUGGAUGAUACAUCUGGUUUAGGACUUUUUAAUGAAUUACAAAAUGUGCUAAAAUCACUUGAUCUUAAUAUUGAAGAUGUUAGGGGACAAGGUUAUGAUAAUGGUUCUAAUAUGAAAGGAAAACACCAAGGAGUUCAAAAAAGGUUGCUUGAUAUUAAUCCAAGAGCGUUAUACAUGCCAUGCGCUUGCCAUAGUCUUAAUCUAACUUUAAGUGAUAUGGCACAUUCUUGUGUGAAAGCAGUUUCUUUCUUUGGAAUAGUACAACGUAUAUAUACAUUGUUUUCAAGUUCUACUAAAAGGUGGAAAGUUUUACUCGAUAAUAUUGAAGGGUUGACUGUAAAAUCUUUGUCAAAUACACGUUGGGAAAGUCGUAUUAAUAGUGUUAAAGCAAUUAGAUUUCAAUGUGUUGAACUGAGGGAUGCUUUAUUAAAUUUAUGUGAUAUUUGUGAUGAUGCAAAGUCAAAAAGUGAAGCUGAAAGUUUAGCUACAUCAAUUGAAAAUUUUGAAUUUCUACUUGGUAUGGUUAUUUGGUAUGAAAUCUUAUUUGUUGUAAACAUGGUGAGUAAAAAAUUGCAAUCAAAAUCUAUGUGCAUUAACUCUGUCAUG